AAAAUUUUUUUCACAUGAAAGAACAUAUAUAAUAUUUUUUAAUAAUAUUAAAAUUUAUUAAUUAAAUAAGGUACACUUAUUUAGAAUAUACCAAUUAAAAAUAUUGCUAAAGUGGCGAUUACCUGGUCAAGAAAAAAAAAAUCCAAUAAUCCAUCUCAAGUACCAUCCUAAGAAUCCAGCCAUCUCAAUUAUUUCUAGACGCCAGCUUUCAGGUUGCUCAGAACCAAACCACCACCGCGAACUUAACGACCCAAACCAUAAUCGGCAAGCGAACGCUCGCCAAUUUCCAAGCGCAUUAACAGCAACUACAGUAGCCAAGCCCAAACCCAGAGUCCGUGAAGCCCAGUAUGUACCAACAUACAUCCCCAGUCCCCAUUCCCUCCCCAUCGAAAUCUUGGCUAACAUGUCUCCAGAACUACCCUCAUUGUAUAAGCAUUACACUGUGCCUCUUCUUUAACAGCUUAGGCCCCAGUCUUGGGCACGGACCCACCAUUCACUUAGCGAACCACGCCUCUUCUGCUAUAUCUUACAUGUACUCGCUCCAAAAUCGGAACAGAGGAGGGGGAGGGCAGUUAUGGGUGGACAAAAAUCCAGAAAGAAGAUGAUAAAUCGAUUGCCGGAGCCGGAAAAAGCGGCUUCUGGAUGACAAUGAAGACGAGGAAGGCGAUGCGAUUUUGGUGAUUACUAACACUAUGAUGCCAUUGAAGAUAUGAUGCAAAGAAUCAAACAGUGAAAAUAAUAGAAACUCUUUUUGAUUUGCCAAAAGGGCCAAUGAAAUGAAAAUGGGGAUUUGGAGGCAACAUUCUAUGCGCUUGACGAAUUUCCUAAACGAAGGUGUGGGCCUAACGUGAGAUCAUUCUUAAGGCUGAUGCAUUACUCGUGUGCAAAAGGGGAGGUUAAGAAGGCAUUUCGGCUGCUUGACACAAUGGAUGGUGAGAAUUGGAUAUUAUCACUUCCAUUAUCUUGAUUUCAGGGAAGAGGACGCAAAGAAUUGACGAGGGAGUGGAGCCAAUGGAUGAAACUAGCUUGUUACUAUUAUUGGAAAGAAUAUGAAAUCAUCUCUAAAAUAUAUAUAUAAAUAUACACCCUUUUAGAUAUAGGAAUUCAAUUCAA